UUUAUUAUCAGAAAGUUAUUUCUAAGGUUAAAUUUUAGGAGUAACUUACAAAAGGUUAAUAGAAUCUAUUAUUUUUUUACUAUUAAUUGGAGAAUUUUGAUUGGUCUAUAACGAUUUUUGUAUCAUUACUUUUAGAGUUAAUAGUAUUUGAAGAAUUAGAAAAGGCGAGAGGAGGGUGUAGUGUUAAGUGACGCUCUAUUUUUAUCAUAAAGCACCUUUGUAAUUCAUUUAUAUGCAAAAUCCAGAUAUUACUAAGACAUAUUCUUAAAGUUAAAAAAAACACGGAGGCCAAAAAAAUCUUUUAACUAUUUCAAGAUAAAAAUACCUCCAUUGUAUUAAGUAAAAAAUUGUUGGCAAUUUUUAGUGAUUUCUGUUUUAAAAUUCAAAAUGAAUGAGUAUAAAUUAUGGCAUCCAAAGAAAGUAUAUGUAAACACUGAAUAAAUGUAAAAGUCAUAUCAAGUUAAAACUUAGCAGAACACUUUAUAAUCUGUAUAUUGUCACCUUAAGCCAAGGCUCAUACUUUAUGUUAUGACGUUAGAAAAUGAACGACAAGAUCUAGUUGAUAAUAUUGUUAAGAACACAAAUUGGAAGUUUUUUGAUGAUGUCGAAAUAAAGGAAAACGGAAAUCUAUAUAUGUUAUAUCAAUUUAAACAUCUAGACGAGUUACAAAGAUUAAAACUUACACCAAAAUAUAUUAAUCAUUUUUUAUCGUGCAAGUAUGCAUAUAUAUUGCUUUCUUAUACAACUUUAAUGAGCUACUUUUUUAAAGCAUGCAGUGAUGAAAGGUUUAAUAAAAUAUUCAUUCCUUAUUGUAUUUCAAAACUAUAUGAGCGAACGACGAAUAAUUUUACCAGCACAUAUUUUAUAUAUAAAGUAUUAAUAUUUUUAAACACUUUAGACGAAUCUAAUUCAUCAUUCUUAAUUUUACCAUUGAAAAAAUUCUAUUCUAUCUCAAAGUCCAAACAAUUGAAGAAACAGUUUUUAGAAAUUAAACAAAAAUCAUAUCUUAUAAAAUCUGGUACAGAACUUGAUUUUGGCCAAAUUUUUUUACCAUUUAGUACAUUAAAUAAUGAUUUGGAUUAUGUUUUUAAACAAUUCUGUAGCAAAAUUCAAAACCCGCUAAUACCGAAAUAUCAGAAUAUGAUAGAUGAAUAUAAAAUAAUUGUGGAACCUAUGUUAUUUUACAAGUAUUUUGAUAAAAAAAUUCAAGAUUUCCUUAUUGAUAGUCAACGUAAUUAUUGUCAAAAUCAAGCAUUUCCAGAUGAUGACUUUAUUGAAAGUUUAAUAGAUGAUGAAACUUUGUCUUUACAGUAAAUAUAUAUAAAAAUAACUAUUAAUAGAUCUCUCAUUAAUUCAUUGCGUUAUAUUUAUUUUGUUUGUUAAUGCACUAUAAAAAAACAAAAGCAACAUC